rnacentral:rRNA from 1 species
GCCUGCUUCGGCCAGCCAGCGAUUGAUGGUCUUGAACAAUUGACGGGCCAGUUGAUGCUGCUCGAGCAGGUGGCGGAAAUUCAUGAUGGUGGUGCGAUCCGGCAGGGCGCUAUCCAGGGAUAAUCGGGCAAACAGGCGCAUGGAGGCGAUUUCGUACAGGGCAUCUUCCAUGGCACCGUCGCUCAGGUUGUACCAAUGCUGCAUGCAGUGAAUACGCAGCAUGGUCUCCAGCGGAUAGGGCCGUCGGCCAUUGCCCGCCUUGGGAUAAAACGGCUCGAUGACUUCCACCAUGUUUUGCCAUGGCAGAAUCUGCUCCAUGCGGGAGAGGAAAAUCUCUUUUCGGGUCUGACGGCGCUUAGUGCUGAAUUCACUAUCGGCGAAGGUGAGUUGAUGGCUCAUGAUGUCCCUCUGGGAUGCGCUCCGGAUGAAUAUGAUGAUCUCAUAUCAGGAACUUGUUCGCACCUUCCCUAAUAGGCUUC